AUGCGCAGUACAGCACAACAAAUACCCCUCGCGUCUGCUGUCGAGAGAGAAGGCGCUCAAAUCUUAUCUCAUAAUGUCAACCAAGGUAUACGUUGGAGAGCUAGGUGAAAAUGGUGACAAGGGUGUAUUGGAAAGGGAAUUCGAACGUUUUGGUACUUUGAAAAGUGUAUGGGUAGCUAGAAACCCGCCGGGAUUUGCCUUUGUCGAGUUUGAAGACCCACGGGAUGCUGAAGAGGCUAUACGAGAGUUAGAUGGGAAAAUGAUUUGUAAUGCCCGGAUUAAGGUAGAGGCUGCCAGGAACCGAAACGAUGGCGGUGGUGGAGGUGGUCGUGGGUAUUCUGGUGGUGGAAGGAACAGGAGAAUGCCCCCUCCACCUCGUGGAUAUCAUCGGGACAGAAGAUCACCGCCCAGAAGGAGAUCUAGGCUUAGCACAUGCAACACCUACUCCCCUCCUGCCUACAGUCAUCGCACAACUUCCGUCCCCUUCCCUCCAGCCAUUAGCUCUCCCUCCCUCUCUCCUUCCUACUUCCCAUCCCACCUACUUAUUUCUAUGCCUUCAUACUGCAUGACUAUCAGCUGUGUAUCACACUGAUGUCUACCUACCUUCCUCUAUUAUAUUUUUAUACCAACUCCUCAGAUCACCUUACUACAGCAGACGGAGUCGCUCAAGGUCCCCCUAUUAUGAUCACCGUAGGUCCAGAAGUCCUCCAUAUCGAAGCCCAGCAUACAGGAGCCCUCCUUACAGGCGAUCUCCUGGGAUAAGAGAUGAUCGCAGGAUGGAUUCCCGCUCUCCUUCACCUCGAUGAUAACGAUGACAGUGUGUUAUAAUGGGCUGUACCAUUGUAGCCAGACUAUUGUGUAUUAAUACACUUGGUAUAAUGUAUACACUAUUAUUUACCAGUAUUGUUAUUGCAUUGGUAAUAAUUUUAAAUGAUAAUAAUUCUCGUUUUGUUCAA